ACAAACUCCUCAUUGCGUUUCAGCUUCUCUUCAUUCGUUAUCCCUUAUAACAUUAAUACGAUAUCACUGAAUCUACCAUUCCUGUGAUUUAUUUUAUUCCAGGUUUUUAUUAUAUACACCUCUCUAAAAUACGCAUCACCGACCUUACUCUCGUCCGCCAUGUUUGCAGGUUCGACAAAGCAAACCGUCACAAAUCUCCUCCUCCUUCACGCAAGGUGUUGUGGGCGAUAUUAGCUGAAAAAGUGUCCACGGAUCCACGCUUGGAAAAUCUACCGGGAAAUACUAGACCAUCCGGGUACCUCAUUUCAGCACGCUACGAUCUGGGACACGCUAAUUCUAAUCUCGGAUACUAUUUAGGACGAAUUGGGACGCAGCAAAUAUUUACUCACACUGUGUCAAACGAUUUUGGAGAAAGAACCGGCAAUUAAUGAACCGUCGUUUUUUUUUUUUUGAAAGGUCUGGCUCCUAAAAUCUAGAGCAGAGGAAGCCAGGAAGGCUUGAAAAACAUCAGCAAAAACUUAAAAAGGGAAUUCCUUCUAAACUACCACAAGUGAAAGAAAGAGUAGAAAGCAGGAAAUGAAAGAAGGAUUCUCAGCAAGCCAAUCACAGCACUUUAACUAAGGAUGCAAGGAUUAUGUGUACGUAUGCGUAUGAACGCAUGCUAUACCACAGCGCCGUCGAAUUCUCAAAUCUCAUUGGUCCGAAGACGUUAAUUCGUUUUCCAUAAGAGCGGCUCUGACGUUAGCGUAGCUGCUAAUCGCAGCUAGAGGCGAUGGUGGUGAGGAAAAACUCCCUGAGACGACAUGAGGAAGAAACCUUGAGAGGAUCCAGACUCAAAAGGGAACCCGUCCUCAUCUGGGUGACACCGGAUAGUGCGAUUAUGAAUCAUUAAUCUUCUAUGAGUGUAUACUUAUAGAGUCACGCAGCGCGAAUCAGUCUGUUCAGGAUUUGGUGGAUUUGUUUUGCGAUUGUCGCGGCCAAAAAUGCUUGAUCUUGCUGCUGCUUUUUCACAAUUUGUGAUGCUAUGUGCGGAGUUUUCUGUGCUUUGUUUUUUUUUCUUGAAUGGGAGAAAUUGCAAUCGCACAAAAUUGUUUGUUGGCAAACGAGACCUUUUAGCUGUACUCAUGUUUGACCCACGUGACUCGAAGAGGGCUUUGGCUGAAUGCGCGUUGAGACGACGUGACGUGACGCGUCUUGGCCCGAAUCUGAGGAAAUUCUGCGUUCAUUUACAAAAACGGUGAUCUCCUACGGAUAUUUUAUUUAUCGAGAGUUAGCGUGAUUUUUUGCGUUAAUUUCUGCGAUCGCAAAAUCCUGGAGGGACUGUCCAAGUGUGUUGAAAGGAACUUGAAUAGGAGCAUGAGACUCGGUUCUGAUUUAAUUAGACUCAAUUAGUCACCUUUACGUUAUCGCUUGCUCAGUGAUUGAGACUAUAACGUAAGACAUGAACUUUUUUCUCACAUGUUCCACAACAUUAGUUAAUAGUAAGUGCAAAUGGAUUAAAAAGUAUUGUUCUUUAAUAAAUAAAAGUACUAAUUGCUGUGGUAUAAGAGGAAUAAAGCACUUUGGGACUUGAAGAAAGAAAAUAACGGAUUCAUAUCGGAGCUCUGCUUUGUGUCUAUUUCAGAUUUUCUGAUCGUGUUAUAGAGUCAUACCGGUAUAUCAUCACACCCUUAGUAUAUACACACAAGUAAAUGUCAUGUCAGUGUGUGUUUCUCAGGACUGUUCCGGUCCUCUAACCUGGCAUCGGCGUAUCAGUGUCACUGUCUGAGCUACAGUCCUCCACUGGCCCAAAGAAAUCAAGGUUGAGAUGUGUGACUGCGCCCCCUGGUGCUGCGGUGCGUAAUGGCAGCACACACGGAGGCAAGUGAGGGUUAAAAAGAGGUUAAUGCUUCCAAACACACACACACACACACACACACAUGCACAAACACAUGCACACACACAUACACACCUGCUCAGAGUGUUGAAAAAAGCUAUAUAAAGUAUACAAAUUUACAGAAAUUAAUGAAUCGGUUUUAAUUUUUAGAAAAAUCAUAGCUUCAGUUUGAUCAUCUACAAAGAGGAAAGUACUGAUCAACUUCCAGCUGAAUAAAGAGAAGUGAUGAAAAGUGCAGCAGAGAGAUUUCAACAGGACAGGAAAGACAGUCAAGACAGGAAAGAACAGAAUAGAAAGAAUGUAAGGAAAUAUGAUGCGCAAUAUAAACCUUUUUAUUUAAUUUAUUUUACAAGGGUUGUCCAAGAGUUUUCCAUUUAGAAUUAGAAUUUCGAACCUGAGAAAUAAAGAGUCCAAAAUCAAAAGUGCAUCAGAAAUCAAAUCACAGUUGUUCAUCUUUUAUCAAGAAGAAUUGAUUGACGAGCAAGAGAUGAAGGAAAUGAAACAAGAAGACAGAACAGAUCAGACACACAGCACCUGCGCAGUGAAACGGCUUCGUUUGCACCGAACCCGUCCUGAGACUCGGUGGCGUACGACUGGAAUACGUUGGUACCGGAAUACGACUGGAAUACGUCGGUACCUAUUGCAUAUUGACCAAAUGAGGUAGUGCAUCUCAGGGUGCAGCAUAACAACAAGAGUGAUUACAGCAAAGAGAUAAAAGGUAGAAGAAGUCAGACAGAAGUAGGACAAAAGGCUUGUUACGUGUCCUCUAUGCAGCACAGAGGACUAUGGCACCUUGUUUUAAGGCAGUCCAGUUUAUUCACUAGAGCUGAGAGGGAAACGAGUAAAGGAACAGACAGAGAAUCGUGUCGAAACUCAGCGGUGUGAGAAAAUGAUGAUCUGCAUCCGAAUCAGCGAGAAAUGGUGUAUCGGGAUGGAGAAGAAAGAAGAAGCACAAGUAUAAUAAAGGAGAAAAGGAAAGCGGAGGAAGGAAGUUGUAAUCAGGAGUAAGAUUUCUGUCGAGAGUGACGGGUGGUUUUGCGUUGCGUUACAGAGAAAGAAGCUCGGCGCUGAGACGUACCGUCGUCUUCGAGGCUUAACGAGGACACCACCUGCUGGAGACACACACACACACACACACACACGUGCGCGUUUUAACAUUUGAAUCAUUAAUGUCAAUUAAAUAAAGAAAGAAUACAAGCUCAACAUUAUAUGUCGUGUGCUCCAAGUCUCUAUAUCUGCCUUUACACGUUAGAUACUGACGAAAGGACGAGAGGAGAAGGACCGGAGUGGUUCAAACCGACAGGAAGGGGUACGGUAACGCAAAUAAUCACUCUUUAGAACCACGGUGAGCAGAAAAGCAUCUCAGAGCACAGGACAUGGCGAAUUUUGAGGUAAAUGGGCUACAAUGGCAGAAGACCACAUCGGGUUCCCAGUCCUGUCAGCCAAGAACAGGAAUCUGAGGCUACAGAGGGCAUGAUUCCACCAAAACUGGAUAGAUGAAGAUUUGAAAAAGACUAGUUGAGGAUGAGCUCGUGUGCAAUGUGGCCACAGAUUCCUGUCAGUUUGAACCAGUCUGGCCAUUCUCCUCUGAUCUCUCUAAUCAACAAGUUACACUCCUGUCCACCACGGCUGCGAUUAAAUUGUAUGACUCUUUCCGCCGUACCUGAGCGCACAGUGCGGAUCUUCCCUGACCAGGUGAGGAUGCAGAAAAGAUGGAGGAAUGUUUCACAGGCUCUUUGAUAAGGGUGGCAGCUUGGCAGUGCUGGGAUUUGAACUCACGAACUUCCGAUCAGUAGUCCAGUGUCUGAUACCACAGUGGAAUCUUAUAUCCCAACACAUUCAUCAGAACGGGUCACGGGGGACC